UACAGAGGGGGCAAGCGUUAUUCGGAAUUAUUGGGCGUAAAGGGCGCGUAGGCGGCCAUUCAAGUGACGGGUGAAAGCCCUCGGCUUAACCGAGGAACUGCCUGUCAGACUGGAUGGCUUGAGACCGGGAGAGGUGAGUGGAAUUCCCAGUGUAGCGGUGAAAUGCGUAGAUAUUGGGAGGAACACCAGUGGCGAAGGCGGCUCACUGGACCGGAACUGACGCUGAGGCUGCGAAAGCGUGGGGAGCAAACAGG
rnacentral:rRNA from 1 species